rnacentral:sRNA from 1 species
CUCACUUCAGCCAGAGCGCGGGGUUGGGGCUUCAUUGCCUUGUGUCCUCUGCUCCGGGAGGCUUCGGUGAUUCUGCCACUCCCUCCGUCGCUGUGUGACCUGCUGGCAUUGAAUGAUUUAUAGCUAAGACUCCAGGACACCCCUGAAGCCGAGAAAUGGAACUCUUAACAUUCAGGGAUGUGGCCAUAGAAUUCUCUCCAGAAGAGUGGAAAUGCCUGGACCCUGCCCAGCAGAAUUUAUAUAGAGAUGUGAUGUUGGAGAACUACAGAAACCUGGUCUCCCUGGGUGAGAAUAACUUUAAUACAUAAUUCCUAAUUCUCCCUCAGAGUUUUAUUUUCUUUCUUCGUAGACUGUCUCAUGAGAACUUCUGCUUUGCAUGAAUUAAUUUCAGUUCUUUUCUUCAAGAAAAAAUGGGAGUUUGCUAGUGUAAAAAAGGAAAUCUUUUUUUUUUUUUUUUUUUAAUUGAGACAGAGUUUCGCUCUUGAUACCCAGGCUGGAGUGCAAUGGCGCAAUCUUGGCUCACUGCAACCUCCACCUCCUGGGUUCAAGCGAUUCUCCUGCCUCAACCUCCUGAAUAGCUGGGAUUACAGGC